CGCAAACUGUGCAGGGAAAGGAGAUAUCGGGACCCACUCAACGCACUACAUGUCAGUGAUGAGCACCUGUUGCAGGUGUAUAGAUUUCCCCGUCAGGAAAUCAUCAGGCUCUGUGAUGAGUUUCGCCCCCACCUGGAAAGGAGAACCAGGAGGGCACAUGCACUCCCAACACACACCCAGGAGACACUGCGUAUCCUCUGGAGCCAUUCCUGAUGACCCCAGUUGCACGGCCGACAACACCUGGGGAGGAGCGCUACAACAAGUCAUCACAGGACAAGAUGCGUUGUCGAACGGACCUUUGGGAUCCUCAAGUCAAGGUGCAGGUGCCUACAUAAGUCAGGAGGAAGUUUGCAGUAUGACCCCAAGAAGACUAUGAAGAUUGCGACUUCUUGUAUGCUCCUGCACAACUACUGAGUGGAUCGCUGCAGAAGAAGUAACAGUUCAGCCUGUGAGAAACAACAGACUGAUUCCUGGUCAAGUUGUCAGGCAGGAAUUUAUUAGAAACUUCUUUUCCUGAGUAUAGAUUGCAUAUGGUGCACUGGUGGCCGAGUGGUCAGCGUGUGUAUGUGGUGAUCCAGAGGACUCGACUCCCACCGCAAGACGCUGAGAGUUUUCAACCAUUGACAAGUGGCGGAGGGUUACCAACAUGCUGCCCGGCAGAUCUUCAGUCAACCCUAACUUCAGC